rnacentral:rRNA from 1 species
GACGAACGCUGGCGGCGUGCCUAACACAUGCAAGUCGAGCGGGGUUGAGGCGAGAGGUAACUCGAACUUCUACCUAGCGGCGGACGGGUGAGUAACGCGUGGGCAACCUGCCUCAAGGUUUGGGAUAACAGCCCGAAAGGGCUGCUAAUACCGGAUAUGCCUAUGGCCUCGCAUGGGGCUAUGAGCAAAGGGGAAACCCGCCUUGAGAUGGGCCCGCGUCCCAUCAGCUAGUUGGUGAGGUAACAGCUCACCAAGGCGACGACGGGUAGCCGGCCUGAGAGGGUGACCGGCCACACUGGGACUGAGACACGGCCCAGACUCCUACGGGGGGCAGCAGUGGGGGAUCUUGCACAAUGGGCGAAAGCCUGAUGCAGCGACGCCGCGUGAGCGAAGAAGGCCUUCGGUGUAAAGCUCUGUCUGGAGGGACGAAGGAAGGUAGACGGUACCUCCGGAGGAAGCCACGGCUAACUACGUGCCAGCCAGCCGCGGUAAACUGUAGUCGU